UUCAGAGUUGGAUUUGAAUCUUGAGUACAAGCCAGAUGUCAGGGAAGACUUAGAGGCUGUGGGGAAGAAACUUGAAGAAUGCACCGAAAGGUGUUCGUGAAAAUGCCCCAGAGAAAAGCUCAUAAGUUACUAUGCAGGGUAUCUGAAAUCUUGCGAUAGCUCUAUUGAUCUUGUUAAUGUCCUGAAGCAUGAGAUUCAAGAUGGGCAACUGAGCUUUA